GUAACAAGGUUUCCGUAGGUGAACCUGCGGAAGGAUCAUUACAGUAUUCUUUUGCCAGCGCUUAACUGCGCGGCGAAAAACCUUACACACAGUGUCUUUUUGAUACAGAACUCUUGCUUUGGUUUGGCCUAGAGAUAGGUUGGGCCAGAGGUUUAACAAAACACAAUUUAAUUAUUUUUACAGUUAGUCAAAUUUUGAAUUAAUCUUCAAAACUUUCAACAACGGAUCUCUUGGUUCUCGCAUCGAUGAAGAACGCAGCGAAAUGCGAUAAGUAAUAUGAAUUGCAGAUUUUCGUGAAUCAUCGAAUCUUUGAACGCACAUUGCGCCCUCUGGUAUUCCAGAGGGCAUGCCUGUUUGAGCGUCAUUUCUCUCUCAAACCCCCGGGUUUGGUAUUGAGUGAUACUCUUAGUCGGACUAGGCGUUUGCUUGAAAAGUAUUGGCAUGGGUAGUACUAGAUAGUGCUGUCGACCUCUCAAUGUAUUAGGUUUAUCCAACUCGUUGAAUGGUGUGGCGGGAUAUUUCUGGUAUUGUUGGCCCGGCCUUACAACAACCAAACAAGUUUGACCUCAAAUCAGGUAGGAAUACCCGCUGAACCUAAGCAUAUCA
rnacentral:misc_RNA from 1 species